rnacentral:misc_RNA from 1 species
AAGUCGUAACAAGGUCUCCGUAGGUGAACCUGCGGAGGGAUCAUUGAAGAGUUAGGGCCUCCGGCCCGACCUCCAACCCUUUGCACUUGGUACCAUGUUGCCUCGGGGGCGACCCGGCCUUCGGGCGCUGGGGCCCCGCUGGACUGACCUAACUACUGUCAUCUUUGCGUCUGAGUACAUUUGAAAAUAAAUCAAAA